GCGCAGGUGUUGAAACUGGUAGACAAGCAUCCUUGAGGUGGAUGUGCCCUUACGGGUGUGGAGGUUCAAGUCCUCUCCUGCGCACCA
rnacentral:tRNA from 1 species